UUCUAAAACCACAUAUUGCAACUCUCAAUUAUAAAUAUUUCAGUAAUGUUUUAUAGCAAUCCAAUAUUCACAUUUGUAUUAUUCUAACAUAGUAUCACUCAUUUGCCACCUUAAAGUGGCAUCAGUAAUCAAAUAUACAUAUUUGAUUUUUAACAUGAAUCUUAGUGGUCUUCAUUACCUAUACAUGUACACAAGCAUACGACUCUUGACCGUCAGCGGAGUGACUGUGGGUGAAGAUACAACUACUGAGUUGCCAUAGUACCUACCAAAAAGAUGAGCAUACGUGGAUCGCUCAAUCGAGGUCCCAACUAUCUUCAAAUCUGAAAACAUAAAGUUUAAAAACGUGAGUAUAAACUCAGUGAGUGAACAUAAAAAGGGAACAAGCAAUUGAUAAGAAGAAUUUGGAAAUCAUGAUGCACUUGUUUCAAAAACAAUGCAAUUAAUUUAAUUUCUUACUAAAAACCCCUCAUUUCAAACUUUGAUUAAUAACCUCAUAGUGUUGCAAAAACCCAAGAUCAAUCCAUGAAGUUAAAUGGGUGAAAAUUUUGUCAAAAUCAAGCAAGGUAGCAAGCAUGGUAGCAAGUUUCUUGCUGCAGCGAGAUUCAGGCGGCCAAAAUAGAAAGUUUCUCGUUGUAGGAAGAAACAGUAUUAGUUUGCAUGUGUUUCAAUUUUUCUAGAAUAUCUUUAGCUACAGAAGUUCAAUUGAUCUUUAUUUUAAAUCAUUAGAAAGCUAAGAGAUAGGGAUACAACUUUUAUGUUUACUACUUUUCCUAGUUAGGACGGGAAGAUGGUCAAAAUCUUCAUUGAAGUGAAAGCAUUGCAUCAGAACCUGAGAGUUUCUCGCUGCAGCAAGAUUUAUUUUCGCUGCAGCGAGAAACAGGGCUGGUUUUUGCCCCCACCACCCGAGAGUUUCUCGCUUCAGCAAGAAUGCAUUCUUGCUAUAGCGAGAUUCAGGGCAAAUGACAAAUAAGGGGUUUUCACAUGCCACAAAAUCCAUCCCUACCAUAUUACACAUCAAAGUGAACACAUUGAUAAUAACCAAGUUAUCAACAUUCAAAACAAUCAUAUAUUAUAAUCAUAAACUUGCUAUCACAUAUACAUAUAUAAACAUAUAUCAACAAGUACACCACCCCACUUCAUUCAUCAUCAUAGUCGGGUCAUCAUCAUCAUCGACUUAUGCGCACUCUCUACUCGCACAUAGCUGGGUCAUCAUCAUCAUCGGCUUAUACGCACUCCCUACUUGAACAUAGCCAGGUCAAUAUCAUCACACAACAUUAUUCAUCAAUGCACAACAUAUAUUCAUAUAUAUAUAUAUACAUACCAACAUAAUAUAGAAGCACAUGGAUUCAUCCUUUUGCACAUUUCACAUUUUAGCAACAUCAAAACAUUUUAUCAAGGGCUUGUUCCUCGGCACACAUUUUUAAAGAAAAGUUGGUUAAAAUCAUUCAAAUGUUUUGUGCAAAUACAUUCACAUUCCCAAAACAAUUUUGAAAUGCAAAUUCACUCACCGAUCUUGUUGAUUUUUUAAUCGAUUCUAACUUCGAUUAUUGCUUCAAACGGACAUGUGAGGCCUCGUUGGAUCCUAUCACACACACACGACAUCACUACCAACCCAAUUUGCAUAAAUACAUUUCUAAAAUCUAUUUCUUAAAUCAAGCUCUACUUGUUAUUCCUAACUAGCUUCCAAUUACCUUUUGAUUAGCUAUCUAUUCUCUCUACUCUAGUAUCACAAGAAAUAAAUAAACAAACCUCAGCAAUAAAACAACUCACAACUCCAAUUUCUAGCCAUUAUCGACCUAAAAUCAAUUUUCAUUCAUUACUCACCUUGGUGGAUUUGUAGUUGAAUUCUUUCUCAAGAAUACUCAAGCUAUCAUGGAAAAUCCCUCUUUCUCUCUCUAAACUUCCAGCUAGUGAGAGAAAGUAUGGAAGUAAGACUUUUCAAGGGUUUUAAAGUGAGAGAGUGAAAGAGCACAAAGGUUCUAUGAAAAAGUGCACAAAAGCAUAAAAAUUAGAGCUAGAGAGAGAGAGUUAUGGAAGUUGCAAAGCAAGCUUCCAUGGAGGAUAAAAAGAACAUGAAAUGGGAGGAAAAAGAAGAAGGAGAAGCUACUAGAAGCUGCUGGAGCUCAGAUAUUUAUGCUUCAAGUUAAUCCAAAUUUCCACCGAAAUUACCAAAAUGCUCUUAACAUGGUGGCUUUGUCUUCCUCCCAUCCUUUGUGCAACCUUUUUGCUCUUUUGACACCGAAAAAAAGUCCAUAAUAGUCUAAAGGUACUCGGGUUCACAAAACUUAAAAAUUUAGACUCGAUAUGCAAAAUGACCAUUUUGCCCCUACCGUGGAAAAUUAUCAUUAUUUUUAUCUUCCUCAUUUAUUUACCAUCAUAAACAUCAUUCAUUCAUUCCUUAAGCCUAUUUAGACCUUAAUAGCAUAAAAAACCCCACUCGUAGGAGCUCACCAAGAGAUAUUACAAAUUUACCCCUAGUUCGCAUUAUCGCGUCUAUUUUUGGUUAUGUGCCUAUGGAGAUCUAGAUUUCACAGCUUCACUUCUGAAUUACCCUUUUAACUCAGUAAUCAACCUCAAUUGGCAUCCGUAAACUUUAUUAGCUACUGUAUCAAAAUAUGGGGUGUUACAUUUGAGGUUUUCGAAACCAAAUCAGAGGUAAGAUUGAACCAUUUUACCAAUUGGUUUCAAAGUUAAUUGGUCCAAAAAUAAAAAUUUUGUUAUGGUUUCAGCUCAAAUGAUUUUCUUCUUAAGCUGCUAGAACCCUUGAAGUCUUUAGGGGAUUUAAAUAAACUAUAAGGUAAAGUUCUAACUACGUAAAGUCUUGGAUACUUAAAGAAAAGUAUGAAUUAUGAGUUAGGACUUAGACCUAGAGUUUAGUUGAAUUUUUAAAUGCUGAAAAUUUAGCUCUUAUAUUCUUGAUAGGGUAAAACUAAGCUUCAAAGAUUGCUAUUAAGCUGAAAAUUAACUAGUUAUGGAAGUUAUAAGUGAUUAGUGAGCUAUAUUGGCAACUCUAAGUGAGUGGGGUUAUUGUUGUACAUUAGAUAAAUGCAUGUAAUGCGUCACACAUGUCUAAGUUGUCACAGCCCAAAUCCUGGGCCAUGAUCAGUGCAUGGGCCUAAUGGGCAUAGCCCACUAAGCCCAAGCAAGCCUUUUUUAUGCAAACCCGAUCAUCAUUCCCAACCAUCAUUUCUAAAACCACAUAUUGAAAUUCUGAACUAAAAAUAUUUUAGUAAUAUUCUAUAGUGACCCAAAACUCACAAUUUUAUUAUGUCAAAAUAAUGUCACCCGUUUGCCAACUCAUAGUGGCAUCAGUAAUCAAAUAUACAUAUUUGAUUUUUAACAUGAAUCUUAGUCGUGUUCAUUACUUAUUCAUGUACACAAGCAUAAGACUCUUGACUAUCAGCGGAGUGACAGUGGGUGAAGGUACAGCUACUGAGAUGCCAUAGUACCUGCCAAGAGGACGAGCAUACGUGGACACUCAAUCUAGGUCCCAACUGUCUUCCAAAUUUGAAAACAUGAAGUUUAAAAACAUAAGUAUAAAACUCAGUGAGUGAACAUAAGAAGGGAAUAAGCAAUCGAUAGAAGGAAUUUGGAAAUCAUGAUGCAUUUGUUUAAAAACAAUGCAAUUGAUUUAAUUUCUUACUAAAAAAAACCCUUAUUUCAAACUUUGAUCAAUAACCUCAUAGUGUUGCAAAAACCGAUGAUCAAUCCAUGAAGUUAAAUGGGUGAAAAAUAGGUCAAAAUCAAGCAAGGUAGCAAGCAUGGCAGCAAGUUUCUCGCUGUAGUGAGAAACAGUCUCAAUUUGCAUAUGUUUCAGUUUUUCUAUCGUAUCUCUGACUACAUAAGUCCAAUUGACCUGAUGUUUAGACCAUUAAAAAGCUAAGAAGUAGGGAUACAACUUUUAUGUUUAUCAUUUUUCCUAUUUUGGAUGGGAAGGUGGCCAAAAAUUCAUCAAAUUGAAAGCACUACACCAGAACCUGAGAGUUUCUCGCUGCAGCGAGAAUCAGGCCAGUGUGACCGCCAAAACCAGAGAGUUUCUUGCUGCAACGAAAAUGAAUCUCACUGCAGCGAGAAACAGAGCAUUUUUAUUGAAAUGAGUCUUAUUACAUCAAAAGCCAUUUUCUUGUUGACAUGAAAAGCAAUUUGGGAGCAAUUAACAAUGCCAACACACAACGCAAUCACAAUUAUUUUCAUAAACUUUCUAUAACAUAAAUAUAUUUGCAUAUACAUAUAUUAUCAUGCAUACCAUCUUGCCACACUCAGCUCAUGUGCAUCCCCUCACAUCGUGCACAUAGUUGGAGCCAUCGUGUGCAUCCCCCUACAUCAUGCACAAGCAAUAUCAUCACCCACAUUCCCAUACCCUGUCAUCACCGGCGUGUGCAUCCCCUCACAUCGUGCACAAGCAAUAUCAUCAUCAACACUCCCAUACCCCGUCAUCACCGGUAUGUGCAUCCCCCCACAUCAUGCACACGUACGGUUAUAAUUAUCACACAAUAUCAACUAUCAAUGCACCAUAUAUAUAUAUAUAUAUAUAUAUAUAUAUAUAUAUACCAACAUAAUGUAGUGGUACAUGAAUCCAUAACAGCCACAUGUCACAACAUAGAGACAAUUUAUAAAGGGCUUGUUCCCAUGCAUAAUUUAAUGAAAAGCCAAGUAAAAUCAAUUAAACACUUCAUCCUAACACAUAUAAAUUUCCCAAAAACACUUUGAUGCAAGUUCUGUCACGACCCGAAACUCCCCUCGAGCCCGUGACAAUCAUCGCGAUGUCCCAAUCGACACUCAUUACUCGAAAUGUCAAUCGGAACCCCGCAAGGCUUUAAUAUCAGCUUCUCAUUUCCCUUGUGAGUGACCGUUGCCAAAUAUCACGUUCUAAAAGAUUUUAAACUAUUUCCAAAUCAAAACAAUAGAAAAAUAAUUUUUUUCUCACAAGGAUAUUUUGAUAAUUUUUCUUCAAAAAUCUCGAAAUCCGCUAAAAAUGUAGUAUGUGAGUACAAAACACAUAAUUCAUAAUCAAAAAUAAGUUUAAACAUCUAAAACGUUCAUUUAAAAUGAAAUUAUGAUUAUUAGAAUAAAAUAAAAAUAUUAAAUAAAAUAUUCCAUUUUCUCAUAAAAUAAUAUUUUUAGAACACUGCAUAAAUAAUUUUUACAGCAUAAAGCAAAAUAAAUUCAUAUAUAUUAUAAUACAGUCAACCAGAGUAUUUAGUUUAAUUUACAGUAACAAAUGGGCCCAUGAACGACCAAAAGUAUUAAAAGAAAUGAACCUACAGUUUUUGGAUGUGACAAGUCCAACUGUAGUCCUCGACAAUAUCAGUUAUCUACAAUCUAUUCUGAGCCUGAAAUGGGUGGAAAGGAUGGUGGUGAGAUUAUAUAAUCCCAGUGAGUAAACAAAUACCAUCUAAAAUAUCUAAAGCCGAGUAAAUGGAGACAGAUAAAAUAGUGCAACAUACUGAAAUUCAUCACCUUUCAACUUGUUUCAACCAAAUAAAAUCAAUUCAUAUAUAUCGAGUAAUCAACAUGGCUUAUGAAUUUCUUAAAAGAUUUGACUCGUGCCAAAACCAUUCUCAUACUCUGUUAUCAGGGAAACCUUGGCCACGGGCUAUCCCAAACCGAGUCCGCCAAGGCUAUUAAAAAGUUAUGUAGUCAUAAAUCAUGUUUUUAUUUUGAAAAUAUAGCCGCUCCUUGGUGUUGGCUGAGUUCGCCCUGACGUGGUGGUUUGGCAUGAAGUGAACUCUAAAAGUUAUAUCUCGGGAGUUACCCUACUUGCCUCUCCAACCAAGGUAAGAAUAUGACCAGGUUCCGUGCCCCUCAAAUAGGCUGGUCCACAGAACUAGCUCACUGCAGCAAGCUGAACCCACCAUACAAUAAAAAUUCAACAACAUGACAUGGCAAUUUUAUCAUUAUCUAGCCUAUCAAGGCAAACAACAGUUUAUACAUUUCAACCCAAAUACCAAUUCAGCCAUUCAUGCCAAUACCAUCAUAAGCCAAUCAAUUAGAACCAUAAAUUCACAAUACAUUAAAUGGUCUUCAAUUAGUCUAUUUGAAAAGUCAUUAUUCAAUUUUAAAACAAUUUUAUGAAAUCAUUUCACUAAAUCACAUUUUGUUUAUAAAAUCGAAAAAUUAAUCAUUUAAUUCAUUUUCCAUAAAAUUCACAAAAUCGGAUAAAAUAUACUUUAGAUCAUUAAGACGAUAGUAAGGUUACUCACAGUACUAGGAGUUCGAUAUACUCCUAUUCUCGAUCUUCAAGCACAAUCUCUUUACCCUUGUUAGAGGGCUCACCACCUAUACAUCAUACGUGACAUGAAUUUUAAUAAAUUGUGUCAAUAUAUCAUAAACUAUUUCAGGCUCUACAAAUCUAUAUGAAUGCACGAAAUGUGAUGCAAAAUGUCCGAAUAGCCCUUUAAAUACGAUAUUCGACCUAAUUCGCACUAUUCUCGAUGUAAUUGGCUAAAACCUCCAAUUUAACUCCAAAUCGAUUUCUUAACUUUCUACACUCCAAUUAUACUCAAAAUACCUCAAUGACUGUGAAUAUGAUUCAUUUUAUCAGUCCGAACCAUAAAUCGGACAUGUCUAUACAUUAGGUAAAAAUUCAGAUUUUCAUGCCAAAAUUUCCCAUUAAAUUUUUAGCCUCACCAAUCAUUAAAUACCACCAAAAUAUCAUGAAAUAUCAUCAAUUUCAGCCUCAAUGUCCUCCCUAGAAAAUUUGACCUCUUGUGGGUUUGUGAAGAACAAAGUGAUUCCUUGCUAGAUUUUCAUACUUUCCAUUACCAAACAACUAAAAACACUUAAUUAGCUUGAAAUCUAACAAAAUCAAUGCUCAAAACCUCUCCUCUCAAAUUCGGCCAGCAUGGGUUCAUCAUGCAAACUUGAGUUCUAAGCAUGGAAAAUGAAAAAGAAAGCAUGGGUAGUGUAAAUCACAAGAUAAAGUCACAAAAUUUUACCUUUAUUAGCUUAAUCCCUUGAAAUCCCACACUUUUUCUUCAAGUUUCCCACCUAGGGUUUGUGUUCUUUCCUUUCCUCUUCACUUCAUGCUUUGGCCGGCCAUAUGGGUGAGACUAAGAGAGUUUUAAAUAGAUUUUACAAGGAAAUUCUAGAAUAAUCCAAGCUUGACACGUGGCAUGUUUCCAUUGGUCCAUGUGUAAUACUUAUCCAUUAAGCAAUCUCUC
rnacentral:lncRNA from 1 species